UGCCUGCCCAGUGACAAUAGUUAAAUGGCCGCGGUAUUUUGACCGUGCAAAGGUAGCAUAAUCAUUUGCCUUUUAAAUGGAGGCUGGUAUGAAUGGCAAGACGGAAGUUUAGCUGUCUCUUUUUUAGGAUCUGAAUUUUAUAUCUUUGUGAAGAAGCGAAGAUGCAAUCGUAGGACGAGAAGACCCUAUCGAGCUUUAAUUUUAUAAUAAGAUUUUGAAAUUUUGUCUUAGGCUAAUUUUUUAAUAAAAUAAUGUUACUUAAGAUAGAAAUAAUGAUUGUUAUUAAACAAUUUUGGUUGGGGCAACCGCGGAGAAGAAAAAUCCUCCGCUAUUUUGAUUAAAAAAAUUAUUAUUUUUAAAUGAAUAAAAAUUAUAUAAAUGAUCCACCUUUAGGUGAUCAAAAGAACAAGUUACCGUAGGGAUAACAGCGUAAUUUCUUUAGAGAGUUCAUAUUGAUAAAGGAGUUUGCGACCUCGAUGUUGGAUCGGGACUUCCAGGAAAUGCAGCAGUUUCC
rnacentral:rRNA from 1 species